UGCUGUGCUAGCAAUCAGUGAGACUCCGUGGGCGUAGAACCCUCCGAGCCAGGUGUGGGAUAUAAUCUCGUGGCGCGCCGUUUUUUAAGCCCGUCGGAAAAGCGCAGUAUUCGGGUGGGAGUGACCCGAUUUUCCAGGUGCCGUCCGUCACCCCUUUCUUUGACUAGGAAAGGGAACUCCCUGACCCCUUGCGCUUCCCGAGUGAGGCAAUGCCUCACCCUGCUUCGGCUCGCGCACGGUGCGCGCACCCACUGACCUGCGCCCACUGUCUGGCACUCCCUAGUGAGAUGAACCCGGUACCUCAGAUGGAAAUGCAGAAAUCACCCGUCUUCUGCGUCGCUCACGCUGGGAGCUGUAGACCGGAGCUGUUCCUAUUCAGCCAUCUUGGCUCCUCCCCUGACUGAUGUCCUCCUUAUAGGAAUGGGAAAUUCAGAUGCAGACAGGUGCUGAAGACCAUGUGAAGGCACAGGGAGGAGGUGGCCAUCUGCAAGCCAAGGAGAGAAGCCUCAGAAGAAACCAACCCUGCCAACACCGUGACCUCAGACUCCAGCCCCCAGAACUAUUCCAUAGAAUGUUCCCUGUUUCUUCAUCUAUGACAUGGGGAUAAUGUGAGUAUACCUACAUCAGAGGGCUGCGAUGAAGACUAAAUAAGCUCCUGCCAUCAAAAGUUGGAGUCUGUUUCCCCACGCCUUGAAUCUGGGCUGGCUCUAUGAUCCACUUUGGACAACAGAAUUUGGUGGAAGUGAUGCUAUGCCAAUGCUGAGGUGAGGCCUCAAGAGGCCUUGUGGGCUGUGACUCUUUUGGAACGCUGCCUAGCUGUCACGUGAACAAGGCUACUGCAUGAUGAGAGACCAUAUGGAGCCAAAACAUGCCUUUCCAGCUGAGGCCCUCCUAGUCCAGCCAGCCCUAGAUGCACAAGCUGGUGACCAAAGAUACAUGAGUGAGUCCAGAUGAGAAGUCCCUCGUUGAGCCCAGCCCAAUUGCUGAUCCACUGACUUGUGAGCCCCAGAGGUUACUGACAGACCAAAAUAUCCUGACAACCCCGGAAUGCCAGAAGGAGAGAAGGGGUUUGUAAAUCUGAGGACCUUGACUACUUUUAUAUCCCCAAUCUCAUCUUAAAUCUGAAUUGAACCUGUCAUAUUAUAGCCUGGCUCUUCUCUCACCAACUAUUUGGGGGUAAUGUAGUGAUUCAUUUUGUUUCCACAUAUUAUUUUAAGUUCUUACUACCUCCUUCCCCCAUCUAGGUUCAGAUUUUCCCCUGCUUUUAACAUCUUGGUCCAGGCAGCUACAUUAUCAAACUGUACUAGGAUGGCAAAAUCAUUUUUUCACAUAUGCUAACCAUCAAUGAUUAGUGGUGAUUUUAUGGAAAAAUAUGUUGAGAAUAAUUUAGAGGAAAGAUUUGGGUUCAGAUAGAACUAUCUGCCAUUGGUAAGUAAAGUAAAGUGAUGUUGUCACUUAUUUUAUCCCAUCCAUGAUGAGAAUUGAUGUUUAUAAAACCUUUGACUAUACAAUGAGAGUAUUAAGCAAAAAACAAGUAACAAAAAUUAAAAAUAAAAUGCUUUUGUAAUCAAGGUCAGAGAGGAUAUUCUUUUACUUUUUCCAUUACAUUAUUCAUGUGUGCAUAAUGGUGUACAGUAUUACUUUCCAUGUGUAAAAAAGAAAUCAUACAAUAGAGUGCAUAGAGAAGUGGAGAAAUGGAGAAUAGUUCUCAAAGUUAUUUGAUCUGGCAGAUUAUCUUCCAAAGAUGAGUGCAACUGUAUUUUCCAUAUCACAGCCUCUUCUGGAAUAUUAAACUCUGCCCCCAUCAAGAGGUGGUGUCUGUGUCUGUUCUUGAAUUUGGGUGGGUCUUCCCGACUGCUUCAACCAAGAGAGUCCAGUAGAAAUGAUACUAUAUGAUUUUGGAGGUUAGAUCAAAAGACUGCCAUGCAUUUUAAUUUUGUUUUUUGAGGGUUGCUGUCUUUUAGAACCCAGCCAACAUACUGUGAUGAAGCCUAAACAACUGUGGAGAGGCUCACGUGGAGAGGAGUCAAUGCCCACUGAUCUAUAAGCCUUGGCUGAGCUCUGAGCCAACAGUCAUGAUCAACUUCCAGCCGUAUAAGUGAACCAUCUUGAAAGAGGCUUCACCAGCACCAAGUUGAGCAACUUGAUUAUGUUACCAAAGAUCACCUCCUUCCUAUCAUCUUCCGUCUGAGACUUGCUUAGAGUGAGUUUGGAAGCUGUGUUUUGCUCAUCCUGAAGACUGAACAUAAGAAAAUAUUGCUCAAGUUCUGGAUGAUGCAGCUGCUGAAAUAAUCUGUGGUGCACUUUCCUUCAGGAAUCCUUACCUAUUUUUUCAGGUGUUCCACAAGCCUUCUUAUCUUGGAAUUCAGUAAUACUUAUUGUGUGGUUGCUUACUGUUCCCUAGGCACCCUGAAGCAUUGAAGCUUUGAAGCUUUGUCUCAUGCUUUCAAGUAAUGUUCUCGUGUUUACCUGCUGAUAUUCCUUCAAAGUUAGAGGCUGCCUCUCUCCAAGUGUGGAAAAAAACAAUCAGAUGUCACUAAGAUAUUGUGUAACAAUUCAUAUUAAACACAUGAUCUUGUCAGUCAAGAAGAAGAGAUUAAAACAAACACCUUGAGAGUUCAUGAGUAGAAGUAUACAGCCCUGCAUUCAUGAUAAUAUGGUGCAUUUUACCUACCUUGCAGCAGAAAGAGAUAUCUAAUUCCAUACACAGCAAUGUAACUGUUUAAAGUGCUCCUAAAAUUCAGACAAAACAAAUUAUAAAUAGUAUCAAGAUCAAAGAAGCUGAAAGUCCCUAUGUUUGAUGUAGGCACAGCAAAGUUUGAUGUAUAUGCUCAUUUCUCAGCACUGCAAGUAUGGAGAAACCAUCAGAAAGCAUGCUGAAAAUAGAGAGGGCUUCUAAAACAGAAAGCUCCUGCCUGUUUUACUGAAGGCUACCAGAUUCUUUCUCAGAAAUUUUGUACAGUUCAGAGGCACAAAUGCUCUUUUAGGUCCUUUGAAGCACUGGGUUUAAUAUCGGAAUUUAAUCUUGGCUCUAGUCUCCAAUUCCUUACAUAGUCAUUCAAGCAAUCUUGGGGACCAAGUCUUCCAAUAGCAUAGUGAUAUUCAUGCCUGAAGUGGGAGGAAUAGAUAUCCUCCUCAUUAACAAGGGAUGAGAGAUCAUGUUUCAUAGGCAAAAUACUCAUGCAUGCAAAAAUGUAACUUUUCCAGUAAUUUUUUUAGUACUGAAAUUAGCUUAGCUCAUUAGCUCUCUCUUCUACCUAGUAGCAGGGAAUGCAGUUUUGCUAACCCAGGUGACUCAUUAUUUCUGUUUUCAAGUUUAGUUUAUUUUAGGUAAAUUUUUGAAUUCAUAAUGUUUUUCUGACCUUUCUUCUCUUCCAGAAGAGGUUAUUCUAACUUCUUAAUGGAUUUACUUUUGUAGUUGUUACUGUUAUAUAUAUAUAAUAG
rnacentral:lncRNA from 10 species